GAGAGUUUGAUCCUGGCUCAGAACGAACGCUGGCGGCGCGUUUUAAGCAUGCAAGUCGAACGGUAGAGAUCCUUCGGGGUCUUGAGAGUGGCGAACGGGUGAGUAACACGUAGAUGAUCUGCCUUGAAGUUGGGGGAUAGCCCAUAGAAAUAUGGGGUAAUACCGAAUAAUCUUUAAAAACUCUGGUUUUUUAAGGAAAGGGGCUUCGGCCUCGCUUUAAGAUGAGUCUGCGGUCUAUUAGCUAGUUGGUAGGGUAAGAGCCUACCAAGGCGACGAUAGAUAGCCGGCCUGAGAGGGUGACCGGCCACAUUGGGACUGAGACACGGCCCAAACUCCUACGGGAGGCAGCAGCUAAGAAUCUUCCGCAAUGGGCGCAAGCCUGACGGAGCGACGCCGCGUGGACGAAGAAUGCCGAGAGGUUGUAAAGUUCUUUUCUUGAGGAGGAAUAAUGUCCAGAGGGAAUGCUGGACAGAUGACGUUAAUCAAGGAAUAAGCCCCGGCUAAUUACGUGCCAGCAGCCGCGGUAACACGUAAGGGGCAAGCGUUGUUCGGAUUUAUUGGGCGUAAAGGGCGUGUAGGCGGAUUGCCAAGCCUGGUGUGAAAGAUCUCAGCUCAACUGAGGGAACGCAUUGGGAACUGGCAAACUAGAAUCUAGGAGGGGAAACUGGAAUUUCAGGUGUAGGGGUGAAAUCUGUAGAUAUCUGAAAGAACACCGGUGGCGAAGGCAGGUUACUGGCUCAUGAUUGACGCUGAGAUGCGAAAGCGUAGGGAGCGAACAGGAUUAGAUACCCUGGUAGUCUACGCUGUAAACGAUGUGCACUUGGUGUCGGGGUUUCUAAGCCUCGGUGCCGUAGCUAACGCGUUAAGUGCACCGGUGCCGUAGCUAACGCGUUAAGUGCACCGCCUGGGGAGUAUGCCGGCAACGGUGAAACUCAAAGGAAUUGACGGGGGCCCGCACAAGCGGUGGAGCAUGUGGUUUAAUUCGAUGAUACGCGAGAAACCUUACCAGGGUUUGACAUAUUUAUGACCGCUUCAGAGAUGGAUUUCUCUUCGGAGACAAUUAUACAGGUGCUGCAUGGUUGUCGUCAGCUCGUGCUGUGAAGUGUUGGGUUAAGUCCCGCAACGAGCGCAACCCCUGCUGUCUGUUGCCAUCAUUAAGUUGGGGACUCAGACGGUACUGCCGGUGACAAACCGGAGGAAGGUGGGGACGACGUCAAAUCAUCAUGGCCCUUAUGUCCUGGGCUACACACGUGCUACAAUGGCUGGUACAGAGCGACGCGAGACCGCGAGGUGGAGCAAAUCGCAGAAAGCCAGUCCCAGUACAGAUUGAAGUCUGAAACUCGACUUCAUGAAGGUGGAAUCGCUAGUAAUCGCGCAUCAGCAUGGCGCGGUGAAUACGUUCCCGGGCCUUGUACACACCGCCCGUCACACCACCCGAGUUGGGGGUACCCGAAGUCACUAGUCUAACCUGCAAAGGGGGACGGUGCCGAAGGUAUGCUUGGUAAAGGGGGUGAAGUCGUAACAAGGUAGCCGA
rnacentral:rRNA from 1 species